GAGAAGAAACAGGUGCGAGAAGGAAAAACUUUUAGUAUUACUGCCAGUAACGACAACCAAAGUAAGGACUACAAGAAGACUUCAACAAGGGAAGAAGAAAAAACAAGAAGAAACAGUUAUUCAAGAACCACCAAAAUCUUUUCCCUGUUAGCGACAAACAACUUGUUUUAUUUGAGUCUCAUAACAGCGGGAUCAAGAU